UUAGUCGUAGCAACACUUUUCUAAACAUCAUUCAGAGAGAAGGAUCAAGUUUAACCCAGAUUUGUUUUGUACCAAAUCUAGUUUUAGUAUGUACAUGAAUCCUUGCAUUUUAAACUCUAAUGCCAAAUUUGUGGUAUGAAUGACAAGGAGUUUGUACUCUUCAACCACAUCAAGGUAACAGAUUGUCAACAUGCUACCCGAAGUCCACAAUCUACUUGUAUAUAUUGAUGGUAUUUGCAACAGUGGUAGAACCUAGGAACAUUAGAGACUGGAAUAUGAAACUGAAUAAAUUUUCUAUUGCAUCCUGAUGACAGUCAUCGCCAUGAUAAGUGCUGCUGCUAUUUUGUCACUGCAGGAUUUGGACGAAAGGCCCAAUGCUGUAUUUAGAGCUCCAGUUGAUGACACUCAUGUAGUGUCACAUAUUUUCACUUGGUAAAGGGAGCUAUUAUAAGUAACACCAGGUUUCCAAGAAAAUCUAAUGUUGGAGCUUUUUCAAAAUUUUAGGAUCUAUUUGAUGACUCUGAACGAACAGGCAGUAAGGAUGAGAUGCUUUAUGACCCGGCCUCUAGUCCUAUGGAAGAAGUAAUGGCACCAUCUCUCCUUGCUUUGAACUUGAAGUUCGAUUCUGCCCCUCCAGAUGAAAGAUGACCCAACCUCCAGUCCUUUGGAAGAAGUAAUGGUACCAUCUCUCCUUGCUUUGAACUUGAAGUUCGAUUCUGCCCCUCCAG
rnacentral:lncRNA from 1 species